rnacentral:lncRNA from 1 species
GAACAAGCGAGAUAUAGAGAGUCUUCGUUAUAUAGGGGUUAUCAAAUUCCGUUGACCACCUCUUUAUAAACCCAAGCACACCCAUGGCUUUAUUUACCAUGGUAGAAAUUUGUUCAGAAAACUUUAACUUGGGGUCUAGUUUAACACCUAGAGCAUCAACCAAUGUAAUUCUCUCAAGAGAACUACCGCAGAGGGUGUAAGGAGCCAGGAAGGGGCUGGAGCGAUAAAAAGUCAUUACAUUGCACUUCGAGGCAUUAAGUUGUAACAUAUUUGCACAGCACCAUGACUGAAAGCUAUUGAGAUCAGAUUGCAAGCGAGAG